AUAACAAUACCGGGCGCAUUAGUGUCUAGUAAUUGGAACGAGUACAAUCUAAAUCCCUUAAUGGGGAUCCAUUGGAGGGCAAGUCUGGUGCCAGUAGCUGCGGUAAUUCCAGCUCACG
rnacentral:rRNA from 1 species